UAUGGUAAUUGUGUGCCAGCCUCCGCUUUACAACGUAGGUCACAAGCGUUGUCCGGAAUUACUGGGUGUAAAGGGAGCGCAGGCGGGAAGACAAGUUGGAAGUGAAAUCUAUGGGCUCAACCCAUAAACUGCUUUCAAAACUGUUUUUCUUGAGUAGUGCAGAGGUAGGCGGAAUUCCCGGUGUAGCGGUGGAAUGCGUAGAUAUCGGGAGGAACACCAGUGGCGAAGGCGGCCUACUGGGCACCAACUGACGCUGAGGCUCGAAAGUGUGGGUAGCAAACAGG
rnacentral:rRNA from 1 species